rnacentral:rRNA from 1 species
GCGCAGCAGUCGCGAAACUUCCACAAUGGGGGAAACCCUGAUGGAGCGACGCCGCGUGCGGGAUGAAGGCCCUAUGGGUUGUAAACCGCUGUUCAGCGGAAAGAACAUCCUCCGGCUGAAUAGGUCGGAGGCCUGACGUUACCACUGCAGAAAGUCCCGGCCAACUCCGUGCCAGCAGCCGCGGUAAUACGGGGGGACGAGCGUUGUCCGGAAUCAUUGGGCGUAAAGGGCGCGUAGGCGGCGGGAA